AUGGCUCUUUGAUAUAAAAACAUAAAGAGUCUGGCCUGCCCAGUGAUUCCAUUUAACGGCCGCGGUACUUUGACCGUGCGAAGGUAGCAUAAUCAUUUGUCUUAUAAUUGAAGUCUGGAAUGAAUGGUUAGACAAGAGCAAAGCUGUCUCUAUCUAUUUAAUAUAACUUUAUGAUCAAGUUAAAAAGCUUGAAUAAAAUUAGAAGACGASAAGACCCYAUCGAGCUUCAGGUAUUAUUAAAAUUUUUUACAUUAAUGUAAAGUCAAUAUUUAAAUUUACUUUAGUUGGGGCGACUCGAGAACAUUUAAAGCUUCUUGUUAUUAAAAACAUUGAUGGUUGACCCUUAAGUAUUAGGAUUAAAAGAAUUAGUUACCGUAGGGAUAACWGCMUUAUCUUUUUUGAGAGCUCAAAUCGAAAAAAAGGUUUGUGACCUCGAUGUUGGACCMAGAUAUCCUUAAGAUGUARAAGUCUUAAAAGGUUGGUCUGUUCGACCAU
rnacentral:rRNA from 1 species